UUAAAGACAAAUUUUGGGUUUUCGUGUCCAACGUUUGACUGUCCAUCUUAUAUGAAAAUUUUUUAUAAUUACUAUUUUCAUUGUUGUUAGAUGAUAAAACAUGAUUAAUACUUUAUGCGUGACUUGUCUUUUUUUUAUAAUUUUUUAAAAUAAGACGGACGGUCAAACGUUGGACACGGAAAUUCAGGGUUUUUCUUUUU
rnacentral:pre_miRNA from 1 species